rnacentral:rRNA from 1 species
UACGGAGGGUGCGAGCGUUGUCCGGAAUCAUUGGGCGUAAAGGGCGCGUAGGUGGCGGGACAAGCGUGCGGUGAAAGCCUGGGGCUCAACCCCGGGUCGGCCGUGCGAACUGUUUUGCUUGAGCACUGUGGAGGCAGGCGGAAUUCCGGGUGUAGCGGUGGAAUGCGUAGAGAUCCGGAAGAACACCGGUGGCGAAGGCGGCCUGCUGGGCAGUAGCUGACACUGAGGCGCGACAGCGUGGGGAGCAAACAGG